GCCGACGUUGGCCAGUGGCAGGCCCUCUCGUUCUAUUAUCCUGAAUGAAAAAGUCUAUGAGAGCUACGGAGGUUCGAUUCCUCCCGACGGCG